rnacentral:rRNA from 1 species
GACGAACGCUGGCGGCGUGCUUAACACAUGCAAGUCGAGCGGUAAGGCCCUUUCGGGGGUACACGAGCGGCGAACGGGUGAGUAACACGUGGGUGACCUGCCCUCAGCUCUGGGAUAAGCCUGGGAAACCGGGUCUAAUACUGGAUAUGACUCCAUGACGCAUGUUGUGGGGUGGAAAGCCUUGUGCGGCUGAGGAUGGGCCCGCGGCCUAUCAGCUUGUUGGUGGGGUGAUGGCCUACCAAGGCGACGACGGGUAGCCGGCCUGAGAGGG